rnacentral:rRNA from 1 species
GGUUAGUGCAAUGGCAUAAGCCCGCUUGACUGCGAGAAUGACAAUUCGAGCAGGUGCGAAAGCAGGUCAUAGUGAUCCGGUGGUUCUGAAUGGAAGGGCCAUCGCUCAACGGAUAAAAGGUACUCCGGGGAUAACAGGCUGAUACCGCCCAAGAGUUCAUAUCGACGGCGGUGUUUGGCACCUCGAUGUCGGCUCAUCACAUCCUGGGGCUGAAGUCGGUCCCAAGGGUAUGGCUGUUCGCCAUUUAAAGUGGUACGCGAGCUGGGUUUAGAACGUCGUGAGACAGUUCGGUCCCUAUCUGCCGUGGGCGUUGGAAGAUUGAAGGGGGCUGCUCCUAGUACGAGAGGACCGGAGUGGACGAACCUCUGGUGUUCGGGUUGUGUCGCCAGACGCAUUGCCCGGUAGCUAAGUUCGGAAUCGAUAACCGCUGAAAGCAUCUAAGCGGGAAGCGAGCCCUGAGAUGAGUCUUCCCUGAUACUUUAAGUAUCCUAAAGGGUUGUCGGAGACUACGACGUUGAUAGGUCAGGUGUGUAAGUGCUGUGAGGCAUUGAGCUAACUGAUACUAAUUGCCCGUGAGGCUUAACCAUACAACACCCAAGGGGUUU